rnacentral:piRNA from 1 species
AUAUAGAUACCCAGAGCCACAGGA